rnacentral:rRNA from 1 species
UACGGGGGGGGCAGGCGUUGUUCGGAAUUACUGGCGUAAAGCGCGCGUAGGCGGCCCGGUAAGUCCGCUGUAAAAGUCCAGGCUCAACCCUGGAAAGCCGGUGGAUACUGUCGGCUCGAGUCCGGAAGAGGCGAGUGGAACUCCUGGUGUAGCGGUGGAAUGCGCAGAUAUCAGGAAGAACACCAACGGCGAAGCAGCUCGCUAGACGGUACUGACGCUGAGACGCGAAGCGUGGGAGCGAACAGG